GGGGAGUUUUCCCCUUUUUAAAAAAAAAAUUUAUAGAGGUUUUGAAUUUGCUCAGAUUGAACGCUGGCGGCAGGCCUAACACAUGCAAGUCGAGCGGCAGCACGGGUACUUGUACCUGGUGGCGAGCGGCGGACGGGUGAGUAAUACCUAGGAAUCUGCCUGGUAGUGGGGGAUAACGUCCGGAAACGGACGCUAAUACCGCAUACGUCCUACGGGAGAAAGCAGGGGACCUUCGGGCCUUGCGCUAUCAGAUGAGCCUAGGUCGGAUUAGCUAGUUGGUGAGGUAAUGGCUCACCAAGGCUACGAUCCGUAACUGGUCUGAGAGGAUGAUCAGUCACACUGGAACUGAGACACGGUCCAGACUCCUACGGGAGGCAGCAGUGGGGAAUAUUGGACAAUGGGCGAAAGCCUGAUCCAGCCAUGCCGCGUGUGUGAAGAAGGUCUUCGGAUUGUAAAGCACUUUAAGUUGGGAGGAAGGGCCGUUACCUAAUACGUGAUGGUUUUGACGUUACCGACAGAAUAAGCACCGGCUAACUCUGUGCCAGCAGCCGCGGUAAUACAGAGGGUGCAAGCGUUAAUCGGAAUUACUGGGCGUAAAGCGCGCGUAGGUGGUUCGUUAAGUUGGAUGUGAAAUCCCCGGGCUCAACCUGGGAACUGCAUUCAAAACUGUCGAGCUAGAGUAUGGUAGAGGGUGGUGGAAUUUCCUGUGUAGCGGUGAAAUGCGUAGAUAUAGGAAGGAACACCAGUGGCGAAGGCGACCACCUGGACUGAUACUGACACUGAGGUGCGAAAGCGUGGGGAGCAAACAGGAUUAGAUACCCUGGUAGUCCACGCCGUAAACGAUGUCAACUAGCCGUUGGGAGCCUUGAGCUCUUAGUGGCGCAGCUAACGCAUUAAGUGACCGCCUGGGAGACCGCCCACUUGG
rnacentral:rRNA from 1 species